CUGUUCUCAGAUUCCUGGCUCCAUAUCCCAGCUGCCAUUGCUGCUUCUGGCCCCUUCACUUUGGUGACCCUGUGGGCUUCCCUUUUUAGACCACAACCUCUCACAUGUUUCUGACUCAACUCUCUCGGCAGUGCUGGCUCGCCUCCUGGUCUCAGGACCCAGCCAGAAGGAGCUGCCCUCACUUCGGAUGUGCUGUGCUCAUGGCAAAAAGCAGAAACUCAAAUGGCCAAGCCAAAUCAGACAAUCACAUUUAAAACUUCUCCUCAGACAUAAUUCCUCAACGAGAUCUUCUAAGAUGUCCGUACUAUAUAUCGAAGCCCUAAAAGUGAAUCUGACACCAUCAAUGGGAACAGAAUGAAUAUACCUUCUUUGAAAAUCUUCCUAAAAGAAAAAUCCCUUUGACUUGUGGAAAACUUCAACUUUCUGGGAGAAUCUUAAUGAACUUUACCCCUGUUAAAGUAAAACAUAUCCAGUGUAAAUACAAUAUAGAGUCUGACCUUUCCUGGCCUUGAAGACCUUGACACGCUGCUAAUAUUUUCACAUGCAAAAAAAUGAUGAAGCCGAGGGUGAAUGAGGACGUUAUCCUGAAUUCUGCACUGUUCAGCUGACAAUACACAGCCUCUAUCCUGUAACCUCCCUUCCAAUAAACAUCUCUCCCACAAGA